rnacentral:rRNA from 1 species
UACGAAGGGGGCUAGCGUUGUUCGGAAUUACUGGGCGUAAAGCGCACGUAGGCGGAUACUUAAGUUAGGGGUGAAAUCCUGGAGCUCAACUCCAGAACUGCCUUCGAUACUGGAGAUCUUGAGUCCGGGAGAGGUGAGUGGAACUGCGAGUGUAGAGGUGAAAUUCGUAGAUAUUCGCAAGAACACCAGUGGCGAAGGCGGCUCACUGGCCCGGAACUGACGCUGAGACGCGAAAGCGUGGGGAGCAAACAGG